rnacentral:tRNA from 1 species
UUAAUUGAAGCCAAAAUAGAGGCAUUUUAAUGUUAAUAAAAUUAUUGAAUAAAAUAUAAAUUCCAAUUAAA